rnacentral:rRNA from 1 species
GAUGAACGCUGGCGGCGUGCCUAAUACAUGCAAGUCGAGCGAACAGAUAAGGAGCUUGCUCCUUUGACGUUAGCGGCGGACGGGUGAGUAACACGUGGGUAACCUACCUAUAAGACUGGGAUAACUUCGGGAAACCGGAGCUAAUACCGGAUAACAUUUGGAACCGCAUGGUUCUAAAGUGAAAGAUGGUUUUGCUAUCACUUAUAGAUGGACCCGCGCCGUAUUAGCUAGUUGGUAAGGUAACGGCUUACCAAGGCAACGAUACGUAGCCGACCUGAGAGGGUGAUAGGCCACACGAGAGCGGAGACACGGUCCAGACGCCUACGGGAGGCAGCAGUAGGGAAUCUUCCGCAAUGGGCGAAAGCAUGACGGAGCAACGCCGCGUGAGUGAUGAAGGGUUUCGGCGCGUAAAACUCUGUUAUUAGGGAAGAACAAACGUGUAAGUAACUGUGCACGUCUUGACGGUACCUAAUCAGAAAGCCACGGCUAACUACGUG